rnacentral:rRNA from 1 species
GAUGAACGCUGGCGGCGUGCCUAAUACAUGCAAGUCGAGCGAACGGACGCGAAGCUUGCUUUUCUGAUGUUAGCGGCGGACGGGUGAGUAACACGUGGAUAACCUACCUAUAAGACUGGGAUAACUUCGGGAAACCGGAGCUAAUACCGGAUAAUAUUUUGAACCGCAUGGUUCAAAAGUGAAAGACGGUCUUGCUGUCACUUAUAGAUGGAUCCGCGCUGCAUUAGCUAGUUGUUAAGGUAACGGCUUACCAAGGCAACGAUGCAUAGCCGACCUGAGAGGGUGAUCGGCCACACUGGAACGGGGACACGGUCCAGACUCCUACGGGAGGCAGCAGUAGGGAAUCUUCCGCAAUAGGCGAAAGCAUGACGGAGCAACGGCGCGUGAGUGAUGGAGGUCUUCGGAUCGUAAAACUCUGUUAUUAGGGAAGAACAUAUGUAUAAGUAACUGUGCACAGCUUGACGGUACCUAAUCAGAAAGCCACGGCUAACUACGUG